AAAAAUGCACAUAUUGUGAGCUCGAUGAGUAGGGCGGGACACGUGGUAUCCUGUCUGAAUAUGGGGGGACCAUCCUCCAAGGCUAAAUACUCCUGACUGACCGAUAGUGAACCAGUACCGUGAGGGAAAGGCGAAAAGAACCCCGGCGAGGGGAGUGAAAAAGAACCUGAAACCGUGUACGUACAAGCAGUGGGAGCCUCUUAAUGGGGUGACUGCGUACCUUUUGUAUAAUGGGUCAGCGACUUAUAUUCUGUAGCAAGGUUAACCGAAUAGGGGAGCCGAAGGGAAACCGAGUCUUAACUGGGCGUUAAGUUGCAGGGUAUAGACCCGAAACCCGGUGAUCUAGCCAUGGGCAGGUUGAAGGUUGGGUAACACUAACUGGAGGACCGAACCGACUAAUGUUGAAAAAUUAGCGGAUGACUUGUGGCUGGGGGUGAAAGGCCAAUCAAACCGGGAGAUAGCUGGUUCUCCCCGAAAGCUAUUUAGGUAGCGCCUCGUGAAUUCAUCUCCGGGGGUAGAGCACUGUUUCGGCAAGGGGGUCAUCCCGACUUACCAACCCGAUGCAAACUGCGAAUACCGGAGAAUGUUAUCACGGGAGACACACGGCGGGUGCUAACGUCCGUCGUGAAGAGGGAAACAACCCAGACCGCCAGCUAAGGUCCCAAAGUCAUGGUUAAGUGGGAAACGAUGUGGGAAGGCCCAGACAGCCAGGAUGUUGGCUUAGAAGCAGCCAUCAUUUAAAGAAAGCGUAAUAGCUCACUGGUCGAGUCGGCCUGCGCGGAAGAUGUAACGGGGCUAAACCAUG
rnacentral:rRNA from 1 species